GGGUAUUAACCCCUGCUGUGCCGAAGUUAACGCAUUAAGUUCUCCGCCUGGGGAGUACGGCCGCAAGGCUAAAACUCAAAGGAAUUGACGGGGGCCCGCACAAGCGGUGGAGCAUGUGGUUUAAUUCGACGCAACGCGAAGAACCUUACCUGGGUUUGACAUCCUCUGAUCGUCUGGGAAACCAGAUUUUUCCGGCUUUUGUCGGAACAGAGUGACAGGUGCUGCAUGACUGUCGUCAACUCGUGUCGUGAGAUGUUGGGUUAAGUCCCGCAACGAGCGUAACCCUUGUCUUUAGUUGCCAUUAUUAAGUUAGGCACUCUAAAGAGACUGCCUCGGUUAACGGGGAGGAAGGUGGGGAUGACGUCAAGUCCUCAUGGCCUUUAUAUCCAGGGCUACACACGUGCUACAAUGGGCUGUACAAAGGGUUGCUAUCCCGCGAGGGGGCGCUAAUCCCAAAAAGCAGUUCUCAGUUCGGAUUGAAGUCUGCAACUCGACUUCAUGAAGGUGGAAUCGCUAGUAAUCGUGGAUCAGCAUGCCACGGUGUAUACGUUCCCGGGCCUUGUACACACCGCCCGUCACACCACGAAAGUCGACUGUACCAGUAAGUUGCUUGGGCUAACC
rnacentral:rRNA from 1 species